rnacentral:lncRNA from 1 species
GCGAUCUUGAGGGCAUGUUCAUCUUCAUCAAACAUGGAGAUAAUCAGCAGUUUCUGGUCAAUACCAACUGUGCUGUCGUCGUGUUGCUGUAUUACAUCCGCAGUAAAGUAAAGUUGCCUAAAACAAGUGAGGAGCUUAGGGAGGGGACUAAUGGCCAAAGGUCAGAAGGAGUUGGGUCAUCUCUAACCCCCAAGCCCUCCUCCUGGCAAGAAGGGAGUUCCUCAUAUCCUUAGAGCUUCCUCCAACCCAUUUUGUAUAGGAUCACUGGCCCCUUUUGCUCCCACUCUCUUUCCUUAGCUGCCCCAAUUACCCUGUGAUCUCCCUCCAGACACCAUCGAUUUGUGUGAACAAACGGGGAAAAUGAAGAUGCUUUUCCUGAUGAAGCCCAAUCAUGCAGAGUAUGCCAGCAAAUACCUUACAGCUCGAAGCACCUACUACGUUUGUAAGGUGGAACGUGGGCCACCA